UACGUAGGGAGCAAGCGUUGUCCGGAAUCAUUGGGCGUAAAGCGCGCGUAGGUGGCCAUGUAAGUCCGCUGUGAAAGUCAAAGGCUCAACCUUUGAAAGCCGGUGGAUACUGCAUGGCUAGAGUACGGAAGAGGCGAGUGGAAUUCCUGGUGUAGCGGUGGAAUGCGCGGAUAUCAGGAGGAACACCGGUGGCGAAGGCGGAUCUCUGGGCCAUUACUGACGCUGAGGAGCGAAAGCGUGGGGAGCGAACAGG
rnacentral:rRNA from 1 species